rnacentral:rRNA from 1 species
UACGUAGGGGCGAGCGUUGUCCGGAAUGAUUGGGCGUAAAGGGCGCGUAGGCGGCUUGUUAAGUCUGGAGUGGAAGUCCUCUUUUCAAGGGAGGAAUUGCUCUGGAAACUGGCGGGCUUGAGUGCAGGAGAGGUUAUCGGAAUUCCCGGUGUAGCGGUGAAAUGCGUAGAGAUCGGGAGGAACACCAGUGGCGAAGGCGGGUAACUGGACUGCAACUGACGCUGAGGCGCGAAAGUGUGGGGAGCAAACAGGAUUAGAUACCCUGGUAGUCCCUGA